AUUGAACGCUGGCGGCAGGCCUAACACAUGCAAGUCGAGCGGAUGAAGGGAGCUUGCUCCUGGAUUCAGCGGCGGACGGGUGAGUAAUUCCUAGGAAUCUGCCUUGUAGGGGGGGAUAACGUCCGGACACGGGCGCUAAUACCGCAUACGUCCUGAGGGAGAAAGUGGGGGAUCUUCGGACCUCACGCUAUCAGAUGAGCCUAGGUCGGAUUAGCUAGUUGGUGGGGUAAAGGCCUACCAAGGCGACGAUCCGUAACUGGUCUGAGAGGAUGAUCAGUCACACUGGAACUGAGACACGGUCCAGACUCCUACGGGAGGCAGCAGUGGGGAAUAUUGGACAAUGGGCGAAAGCCUGAUCCAGCCAUGCCGCGUGUGUGAAGAAGGUCUUCGGAUUGUAAAGCACUUUAAGUUGGGAGGAAGGGCAGUAAGUUAAUACCUUGCUGUUUUGACGGUACCAACAGAAUAAGCACCGGCUAACUUCGUG
rnacentral:rRNA from 1 species